rnacentral:rRNA from 1 species
AAGGCCUUCGGGCUGAUGGCGUACUUUUUGUAGAACGGUCCGGCGAGUUACUAAUGCCAGCGAGGUUAAGUGGUCAGAAGCCACGGAGCCGAAGGGAAACCAAGUCUGAAUAGGGCGUAGAGUUGGUAUUAGUAGACCCGAAACCGGGUGACCUAUCCAUGUCCAGGUUGAAGGAACCGUAAAAGGUUUUGGAGGACCGAACACACAUGUGUUGAAAAACGUGGUGAUGAGGUGUGGAUAGCGGAGAAAUUCCAAUCGAACUCGGAGAUAGCUGGUUCUCCUCGAAAUAGCUUUAGGGCUAGCCUCGAGCUGGAGUCUAACGGAGGUAAAGCACUGAACUGACGCGGGGCCCAAAAAGGUUACCAACUCAUAUCAAACUAAGAAUGCCGUCAAGAUACCCUCGGGAGUCAGUCUGCGUGAGAUAAGUCGCGUGGACAAAAGGGAAAGAGCCCAGACCGACAGCUAAGGUCCCAAAGUACGUGUUAAGUGGAAAAGGAUGUGGGAUUUCAUAGACAACUAGGAUGUUGGCUUAGAAGCAGCCAUACAUUUAAAGAGUGCGUAAUAGCUCACUAGUCGAGAAAACCUGCGCCGAAAAUGUAACGGGGCUAAAACACGACACCGAAGCUACGGAUUUCCUACUAGGUAGGAAGUGGUAGAGGAGCAUCCUGCAAGGACGAAGCCAAAGUGAGAGCGAUGGUGGACGAAACAGGAGAGAGAAUGCCGGAAUGAGUAGCGAGAUACAUGUGAGAAACAUGUAGGCCGAAUAUCUAAGGAUUCCUGGGUAAAGCUAAUCUUCCCAGGGUUAGUCGGGGCCUAAGGCGAGGACGAGAGUCGUAGUCGAUGGAUAACAGGUUGAUAUUCCUGUACUACACAUAAUCAGAACUGUGGGGACGCAGGAGGAUAGGGAAACCGGGGAAUGGAAAGACCCGGUCAAGCGCAAAGCUGUGGGAGAUAGGCAAAUCCGUCUCCUGUAAGUGAAGCGUGAUGAGGACUGAAAAAAAGUAAGGAAGUUUCCGAAUCCACACUGCCGAGAAAAGCCGCUAUUGCGUUAUGUGUACCCGUACCGUAAACCGACACAGGUAGAUGAGGAGAAAAUCCACAGGCCGACGGGAGAAGUGUUGUUAAGGAACUCGGCAAAAUGACCCCGUAACUUCGGGAUAAGGGGAGCCUCGCAAGAGGCCGCAGAAAAGAGGCACAAGCAACUGUUUAGCAAAAACAUAGGUCUAUGCGAAACCGUAAGGUGAAGUAUAUGGGCUGACGCCUGCCCGGUGCUGGAAGGUUAAAAGGAGAGGUCAGCGCAAGCGAAGCUUUGAAUUCAAGCCCCAGUAAACGGCGGCCGUAACUAUAACGGUCCUAAGGUAGCGAAAUUCCUUGUCAGGUAAGUUCUGACCCGC